GGGGAUAUGGGGUAGGGGCAACCUUAGUCCUUCGCAUCAUCGCAAGAUCUUGUCGAAUCUGGACUGGCCGGGGGUUCGAGUCCCCCUAUCUCCA